rnacentral:rRNA from 1 species
AGUGAACGCUGGCGGUAGGCCUAACACAUGCAAGUCGAACGGCAGCACAGUAAGAGCUUGCUCUUACGGGUGGCGAGUGGCGGACGGGUGAGGAAUACAUCGGAAUCUACUUUUUCGUGGGGGAUAACGUAGGGAAACUUACGCUAAUACCGCAUACGACCUACGGGUGAAAGCAGGGGAUCUUCGGACCUUGCGCGAUUGAAUGAGCCGCUGUCGGAUUAGCUAGUUGGCGGGGUAAAGGCCCACCAAGGCGGCGAUCCGUAGCUGGUCUGAGAGGAUGAUCAGCCACACUGGAGCGGAGACACGGUCCAGACUCCUACGGGAGGCAGCAGUGGGGAAUAGGGGACAAUGGGCGCAAGCCUGAUACAGCCAGACCGAGUGGGUGAAGAAGGCCUUCGGGUUGCAAAGCCCUUUUGUUGGGAAAGAAAAGCAGCAGGUUAAUACCCCGCUGUUCUGACGGUACCCAAAGAAUAAGCACCGGCUAACUUCGUG